rnacentral:rRNA from 1 species
UACUAGAGUAGCACUCGCAUAUCAAUAAGCGGAGGAAAAGAAACUAACAAGGAUUCCCCUAGUAACGGCGAGUGAAGCGGGAAGAGCUCAAAUUUGAAAUCUUAAAGGGUUUCCCUUUACGAAUUGUAGUUUAAAGAAGUGUUUUCUGUUGAGGUUUUGGUAGAAGUUCUUUGGAAUAGGACAUCAUAGAGGGUGAGAGUCCCGUAUUUGACCUUUACUUUCAACUUUGUGAUACACUUUCAAAGAGUCGGAUUGUUUGGGAAUGCAGUCCAAAAUGGGUGGUAAAUUUCAUCUAAAGCUAAAUAUUGGCGAGAGACCGAUAGCGAACAAGUACCGUGAGGGAAAGAUGAAAAGAACUUUGAAAAGAGAGUUAAACAGUACGUGAAAUUGUCAAAAGGGAAGCGUUUGACACCAGUGUUGUUUUUCUGAAAAUCAAUUAAAGAACUGUUUAUGCUUAAGUUGUUUAGGACUUUAUCAGCUAGCUGUUUAGUUUUGAGCUUUUCUUUAAUGCACUUUUCAGUUAACAAGUCAACAUCAAUUUCUUUUGCUGUAAAAAAGCUUGAGGAAGGUGGCUUGAGAUUCGUCUUAAGUGUUUAUAGCCUCUUGCCUAUGCAGUCGGAGAGAUUGAGGUCUGCAGCGUAGAUCCUUCGGGGCUAAAUGCAUUUGUGCUAAGUUAUAGCAUUUCAUAGACAACUUGUUGACUAUGAUUUGUCUUGUAGCUUACUCGCUUAUGUUAUUUUACCUACGCUUAGGAUGUUGAUAUCGCGCUCUCACUG